rnacentral:rRNA from 1 species
UACGUAGGGUCGAGCGUUGUCCGGAAUUACUGGGCGUAAAGAGCUCGUAGGUGGUUUGUCGCGUUGUUCCGUGAAAACUCACAGCUCAACUGUGGGCGUGCGGGCGAUACGGGCAGACUGGAGUACUGCAGGGGAGACUGGAAUUCCUGGUGUAGCGGUGGAAUGCGCAGAUAUCAGGAGGAACACCAGUGGCGAAGGCGGUUCUCUGGGCCUUACCUGACGCUGAGGAGCGAAAGCGUGGGGAGCAAACAGG